CGUUGAUUACGUCCCUGCCCUUUGUACACACCGCCCGUCGCUACUACCGAUUGAAUGGCUCAGUGAGUCCUUGGGACUGGCUCAGAGAGGUCGGCAACGACCACUCAGAGCCGGAAACUUGGUCAAACUUUGUCAUUUAGAGGAAGUAAAAGUCGUAACAAGGU
rnacentral:rRNA from 1 species